rnacentral:rRNA from 1 species
UACAGAGACCUCAAGCGUUAUCCGGAAUCAUUGGGCGUAAAGCGUGCCGAUAGGUGGUUUAUUAAGUUUUGGGUAAAAGCCAGAAGCUCAACUUCUGAGUUUGCUCAAGAUACUGAUAGACUAGAGGGGCAAAGAGGUGCUUGGAACGAAUGGUGUAGUAGUGAAAUGCGUUGAUAUCAUUCGGAACACCGAAAGCGAAGGCAGAGCACUGGGUGCCACCUGACACUGCUAGGACGAAAGCGUGGGUAGCGAAUGGG